UGGGGAAUAUUGGACAAUGGGCGCAAGCCUGCUCCAGCCAUGCCGCGUGAGUGAUGAAGGCCCUAGGGUUGUAAAGCUCUUUCACCGGUGAAGAUAAUGACGGUAACCGGAGAAGAAGCCCCGGCUAACUUCGUGCCAGCAGCCGCGGUAAUACGAAGGGGGCUAGCGUUGUUCGGAUUUACUGGGCGUAAAGCGCACGUAGGCGGACUAUUAAGUCAGGGGUGAAAUCCCGGGGCUCAACCCCGGAACUGCCUUUGAUACUGGUAGUCUUGAGUUCGAGAGAGGUGAGUGGAAUUCCGGGUGUAGAGAUGGAAUUCGUAGAUAUUCGGAGGAACACCAGUGGCGAAGGCGGCUCACUGGCUCGAUACUGACGCUGAGGUGCGAAAGCGUGGGGAGCAAACAGG
rnacentral:rRNA from 1 species